CCAGACUCCUACGGGAGGCAGCAGUGAGGAAUAUUGGUCAAUGGGCGCGAGCCUGAACCAGCCAAGUCGCGUGAGGGAUGACGGCCCUACGGGUUGUAAACCUCUUUUGUCGGGGAGCAAAUUCCGCCACGUGUGGCGGAGUCGAGAGUACCCGAAGAAAAAGCAUCGGCUAACUCCGUGCCAGCAGCCGCGGUAAUACGGAGGAUGCGAGCGUUAUCCGGAUUUAUUGGGUUUAAAGGGUGCGUAGGCGGACAGUCAAGUCAGCGGUAAAAAUGCGGUGCUCAACGCCGUACAGCCGUUGAAACUGGCAGUCUUGAGUGGGCGAGAAGUAUGCGGAAUGCGUGGUGUAGCGGUGAAAUGCAUAGAUAUCACGCAGAACUCCGAUUGCGAAGGCAGCAUACCGGCGCCCGACUGACGCUGAGGCACGAAAGCGUGGGUAUCGAACAGGAUUAGAUACCCUUGUAGA
rnacentral:rRNA from 1 species